UACGUAGGGGGCGAGCGUUGUCCGGAUUUAUUGGGCGUAAAGCGCGCGUAGGCGGCCUCAUAAGUCCGUUGUGAAAGUCAAAGGCUCAACCUUUGAAAGCCGAUGGAUACUGUGAGGCUAGAGUCCGGAAGAGGCGAGUGGAAUUCCUGGUGUAGCGGUGGAAUGCGCAGAUAUCAGGAGGAACACCAAUAGCGAAGGCAGCUCGCUGGGACGGUACUGACGCUAAGGCGCGAAAGCGUGGGGAGCGAACAGG
rnacentral:rRNA from 1 species